rnacentral:rRNA from 1 species
CCCCACUGCUAUCGGGAUGGGACUAAGACAUGCUAGUCGUGCGUCUCCAAGCCAUGGCGGAGACGCGGCGCACAGCUCAGUAACACGUGGCUAACCUGCCCUUAGGACAGGGAAAACCCCGGGAAACUGGGGCUAAUCCCCGAUAGGAGAAGACACCUGGAAGGGGUCUUUUCCCAAAAGGCGCUUAGAUCAUGCUUCUAGACGUCGCUCAAGGACGGGGCCGCGGCCGAUCAGGUUGUUGGUGAGGUAAUGGCUCACCAAGCCUAUAACCGGUACGGGCCGUGAGAGCGGGAGCCCGGAGAUGGGCACUGAGACAAGGGCCCAGGCCCUACGGGGCGCAGCAGUUGCGAAAACUCCGCAAUGCACGAAAGUGUGACGGGGCUACCCCGAGUGCCGUCCGCUGAGGAUGGCUUUUCUCCGCUGUAAGGAGGCGGAGGAAUAAGGAGAGGGCAAGACUGGUGUCAGCCGCCGCGGUAAUACCAGCUCUCCGAGUGGUAGGGGUGAUUAUUGGGCUUAAAGCGUCCGUAGCCGGCCUGGCAAGUCUUCCGUUAAAUCCAGCAACCUAAUUGUUGGGCUGCGGGGGAUACUGUUAGGCUAGGGGGCGGGAGAGGCCGACGGUAUUCUCGGGGUAGGGGUGAAAUCUUAUAAUCCCGGGAGGACCACCAGUGGCGAAGGCUGUCGGCUAGCACGCGCCUGACGGUGAGGGACGAAAGCUGGGGGAGCGAACCGGAUUAGAUACCCGGGUAGUCCCUGCUGUAAACGAUGCGAGCUAGGUGUUGGGGCGGCUACGAGCCGCUUCAGUGCCGCAGCGAAGGCGUUAAGCUCGCCGCCUGGGGAGUACGGCCGCAAGGCUGAAACUUAAAGGAAUUGGCGGGGGAGCACCACAAGGCGUGAAGCUUGCGGUUC